rnacentral:tRNA from 1 species
GAAAAUAGUAUAAUUAUUAUUUAAAUAUUGGGAAUUUAAGAUGACUUCUUUUCUGAUAAUAUAAGAAGAUAUUUUCG